rnacentral:rRNA from 1 species
UGGGGAAUUUUGGACAAUGGACGCAAGUCUGAUCCAGCCAUGCCGCGUGCGGGAAGAAGGCCUUCGGGUUGUAAACCGCUUUUGUCAGGGAAGAAACGAGUUUCUCUAAUACAGAGACUUAAUGACGGUACCUGAAGAAUAAGCACCGGCUAACUACGUGCCAGCAGCCGCGGUAAUACGUAGGGUGCAAGCGUUAAUCGGAAUUACUGGGCGUAAAGCGUGCGCAGGCGGUUAUGCAAGACAGAGGUGAAAUCCCCGGGCUCAACCUGGGAACUGCCUUUGUGACUGCAUAGCUAGAGUACGGUAGAGGGGGAUGGAAUUCCGCGUGUAGCAGUGAAAUGCGUAGAUAUGCGGAGGAACACCGAUGGCGAAGGCAAUCCCCUGGACCUGUACUGACGCUCAUGCACGAAAGCGUGGGGAGCAAACA